rnacentral:miRNA from 1 species
CAGGAUGAUCAGUUCAAUUUGAUGCGGUUAAACAAUGAAUAAUUUUUUAGUGUAUAUUCCAUGUAAUAUUUGGGACAUACUUAUACUAAAAAAUCAUUCAUUUUUUUCCUGAAAUUCAGAUGUAGCCAGGCAUCCUGU